rnacentral:rRNA from 1 species
ACGGAGGCAGCAGUAGGGAAUAUUGCACAAUGGGGGAACCCUGAUGCAGCGACGCCGCGUGAGUGAUGAAGUAUUUCGGUACGUAAAGCUCUAUCAGCAGGGAAGAUAAUGACGGUACCUGACUAAGAAGCCCCGGCUAACUACGUGCCGGCAGCCGCGGUAAUACGUAGGGGGCAAGCGUUAUCCGGAUUUACUGGGUGUAAAGGGAGUGUAGGUGGUCUGGCAAGUCAGAUGUGAAAGCCCGCGGCUCAACCGCGGGACUGCAUUUGAAACUGUCAGACUGGAGUGCAGGAGAGGAAAGUGGAAUUCCUAGUGUAGCGGUGAAAUGCGUAGAUAUUAGGAAGAACACCAGUGGCGAAGGCGGCUUUCUGGACUGUAACUGACACUGAGGCUCGAAAGCGUGGGGAGCAAACAGGAUUAGAUACCCUGGUA